AUGGGUGGUGGUUCAUCGCUCGUUCAGCUGACGGCGUACCAUAUAACUGGAAUUAACCGAUGCAAGUCGAAGAAGGAUUGGCCGGUGCUGCCGGCUGGCGUCAAGUUCGAUCCCACAGAUCAGGAGCUGAUCGGUCACCUUGAGGCCAAAGUGAGUGCCGACAGCGCGAGAUCUCACCCUCUCAUCGAUUUGUUCAUACCAACCAUCGACAGCGAGCACAGCAUAUGCUACACCCAUCCUGAGAAACAUCCAGCGCAAUUCCAGGGCGUUCAAAAGGGGCACGUGGACGCGUCGCAAGAUAUAGUCGGAGUGUGGCAUGCACGCGAUGUGGCACAACACCGGCAAUACCUUGCCGGUGAUGGUCAACGGCCGGAGACGGGUAGCAAAAAUGUUCUGGUGCUUCACACCAACAAGAACUUCGACCAGCAGAGGACCAACUGGGUGAUGCACCAGUACCACCUCGGGGACCUAGAGCAAGAGAAGGAGUGGGAGCUGGCCCAGCCCAUGACGACAACGGGGCACAAAGAUCCAGCAGAGCGCGCGCUGGGACGCCAGAGCGGAGCGCGCCGCGGCCGUCUCAAUGGCAAGCAAAACGCGCGGACGGACGCGAGCAAAGCGCACCGCGACCGCCUCAACAUGGGGCAGAGCAUGCCGCGGUCACCUCAACGGCGAGCAACCACGUGGUCAAACUUCUGGCACCCGGUGGGAGGCGCGACGACCCAUCCAUAG
rnacentral:rRNA from 1 species